rnacentral:rRNA from 1 species
UACGAAGGGUGCUAGCGUUGCUCGGAAUCACUGGGCGUAAAGGGUGCGUAGGCGGGUUUUUAAGUCAGGGGUGAAAUCCUGGAGCUCAACUCCAGAACUGCCUUUGAUACUGAAGAUCUUGAGUCCGGGAGAGGUGAGUGGAACUGCGAGUGUAGAGGUGAAAUUCGUAGAUAUUCGCAAGAACACCAGUGGCGAAGGCGGCUCACUGGCCCGAUACUGACGCUGAGGUGCGAAAGCGUGGGGAGCAAACAGG